rnacentral:ncRNA from 1 species
ACCGUCUUUAUCACGGGGAGCUUGGUUGUGCCAAGGAUCGUUUAGUGAGGCCAGCCCUGCUGACACCGUGUAACAACACGCACGCGCCGCGCGAUUUAUUUGCGUUGGUGCAAUUUUUGGACCC